AGAGAGAGAGAGAGAGCAUUGUCUUGCGAACGAUUGCAGACCUCAUUUUCUAGUUUCCGAGAGAGGAGGAGUUAUUUAAAAGGCGGGCGCCAUUUCUCAAUCUCUCUCUCUUUCUCUCUUUGUCCCCAAAUUCACAAACAAUAAAGGUUUCAACUUUGUCGAGGAAUCAAAGCUUCUUUCUACGGGUUUGCGGUUGAAUAAGAUAUGGCAGUGAAGCCAACAGUUGCCUUCAGAGCUAUACUUGUGGGAGGAAUAGCUGCAUUUGCCAAAGUAGCUGGUGUAAUGAAGGCUGCAGGUGGUGCCAAGGUGGGUGCAGCUGCAGCUAUGGCGACUGCAGCAGCAACAGCAGCUAUUGGAUCAAGAGAAUCAAAGGAUUCGAAAUGAAUUAAUAAUAGAUGUAAUCUGUAAUUUCUGUAGCGUAGUGUUGGAUGCCCCAAGGUGUCUUGGGAGCAAAUUUGCUGCAUUUAAGUUGCAAUUUUGAACAUAAGACGAUUUUGAAGCACUUGAAAUAAAAAGAUAUGGGUUUUUUUUCUGUCC